rnacentral:rRNA from 2 species
UCGGCUUAACCGGAGAAGUGCAUCGGAAACUGGAUAACUUGAGUGCAGAAGAGGGUAGUGGAACUCCAUGUGUAGCGGUGGAAUGCGUAGAUAUAUGGAAGAACACCAGUGGCGAAGGCGGCUACCUGGUCUGCAACUGACGCUGAGACUCGAAAGCAUGGGUAGCGAACAGGAUUAGAUACCCUGGUAGUCCAUGCCGUAAACGAUGAGUGCUAGGUGUUGGAGGGUUUCCGCCCUUCAGUGCCGGAGCUAACGCAUUAAGCACUCCGCCUGGGGAGUACGACCGCAAGGUUGAAACUCAAAGGAAUUGACGGGGGCCCGCACAAGCGGUGGAGCAUGUGGUUUAAUUCGAAGCUACGCGAAGAACCUUACCAGGUCUUGACAUCUUGCGCCAACCCUAGAGAUAGGGCGUUUCCUUCGGGAACGCAAUGACAGGUGGUGCAUGGUCGUCGUCAGCUCGUGUCGUGAGAUGUUGGGUUAAGUCCCGCAACGAGCGCAACCCUUGUUACUAGUUGCCAGCAUUAAGUUGGGCACUCUAGUGAGACUGCCGGUGACAAACCGGAGGAAGGUGGGGACGACGUCAGAUCAUCAUGCCCCUUAUGACCUGGGCUACACACGUGCUACAAUGGACGGUACAACGAGUCGCGAACUCGCGAGGGCAAGCAAAUCUCUUAAAACCGUUCUCAGUUCGGACUGCAGGCUGCAACUCGCCUGCACGAAGUCGGAAUCGCUAGUAAUCGCGGAUCAGCAUGCCGCGGUGAAUACGUUCCCGGGCCUUGUACACACCGCCCGUCACACCAUGAGAGUUUGUAACACCCAAAGUCGGUG